UACGGAGGAUCCAAGCGUUAUCCGGAUUUAUUGGGUUUAAAGGGUGCGUAGGCGGUCCUAUAAGUCAGUGGUGAAAGACGGCAGCUUAACUGUCGCAGUGCCUUUGAUACUGUAGGACUUGAAUCUAUUUGAAGUGGGCGGAAUAAGACAAGUAGCGGUGAAAUGCAUAGAUAUGUCUUAGAACUCCGAUUGCGAAGGCAGCUCACUAAGUUAGUAUUGACGCUGAUGCACGAAAGCGUGGGGAUCAAAC
rnacentral:rRNA from 1 species